AUUGAACGCUGGCGGAAUGCUUUACACGUGCAAGUCGAACGAUGAACCUUAGCUUGCUAAGGGGGUUAGUGGCGAACGGGUGAGUAAUAUAUCGGAACGUGCCUUGUAAUGGGGGAUAACUAGUCGAAAGAUUAGCUAAUACCGCAUACGCCCUGAGGGGGAAAGUAGGGGAUCUUCGGACCUUACGUUAUAAGAGCGGCCGAUAUCUGAUUAGCUAGUUGGUGGGGUAAUGGCCUACCAAGGCUUCGAUCAGUAGCUGGUCUGAGAGGACGACCAGCCACACUGGAACUGAGACACGGUCCAGACUCCUACGGGAGGCAGCAGUGGGGAAUUUUGGACAAUGGGCGAAAGCCUGAUCCAGCCAUUCCGCGUGAGUGAAGAAGGCCUUCGGGUUGUAAAGCCCUUUCGCAAGGGAAGAAAACUUACAUUCUAAUAAAGUGUGAGGCUGACGGUACCUUGAUAAGAAGCACCGGCUAACUACGUGCCAGCAGCCGCAGUAA
rnacentral:rRNA from 1 species